UAUUUCAUUCACAAAACCAUUCGAAAAUCUCUUUUAAAACUGUUUUCCACUCGGAAACUCUAUUUUGAAAAUCGACUACCUCGAGGGGUAAAAAACUGUCACGCCCCGGGGUCCCUUUUUGUUUAAAAGGUAGCGGAAAAGCGUCUGAAAUUUUUUUUUUUGAAAACCUGACCCCAGAGUGUGCCAGAUCCGCCACAAAUACAGGAGUUCCACUGUUCACACGGACAGAGUCUCCCCUGUAUUUGCACGGCGUCGCACAAGUACAACAGAGUAUAAGUACACAUAUAAUCACAACCACAACCAGAUGAACAACAAGAUAGAUAACAUUCAUCCAUUCCAUUCACACACACAGAUAUGAUACUUGAAUAUGCAUAACAUUCCACAUCUAUCAGUUAAAAUGUUUCCUACCUGGAAACUGAUUUUGAAAUACUAAAUCCAUAAAACCACAGAAAAUCAAUUUGAAAACUGAUUCCCACACGGAAAUCAUUCUUUUUCAAAACCAGCUACCACGAGGGGUAGAAAACUGUUUUAUU
rnacentral:lncRNA from 1 species